GGAGAUAUAGCUCAAUUGGUAGAGCUCGUGCCUUGCAAGCACAAGGCCCUGGGUUCAAUCCCCAGCGCCA
rnacentral:tRNA from 1 species